CCAGACUCCUACGGGAGGCAGCAGUGGGGAAUAUUGCACAAUGGGGGAAACCCUGAUGCAGCGACGCCGCGUGAGCGAAGAAGUACCUCGGUAUGUAAAGCUCUAUCAGCAGGGAAGAAGAUGACGGUACCUGACCAAGAAGCUCCGGCUAAAUACGUGCCAGCAGCCGCGGUAAUACGUAGGUGGCAAGCGUUGUCCGGAUUUACUGGGUGUAAAGGGCGUGUAGCCGGGCUGACAAGUCAGAUGUGAAAUUCCGGGGCUCAACCCCGGACCUGCAUUUGAAACUGUUGGUCUUGAGUAUCGGAGAGGCAGGCGGAAUUCCUAGUGUAGCGGUGAAAUGCGUAGAUAUUAGGAGGAACACCAGUGGCGAAGGCGGCCUGCUGGACUGUGACUGACGUUGAGGCCCGAAGGCGUGGGGAGCAAACAGGAUUAGAUACCCCUGUAU
rnacentral:rRNA from 1 species